GAGCAUGAUGGAAAACCAAAAUUUCUUCACUUUGACCUGACAUGUUCUGUUUGAAGAAGUUUUAAAAGUCUGACG
rnacentral:snoRNA from 1 species